CUCUUCACGGGUGUGCAUCGUAGCAGCGACAGAGGCGCUGGUCGGAGCUCCAACAGAGACCAUCACUGCACUGGACCUUGAGGAGGAAGUAGCUUCUUUUUAUUGCUUAUUGGAAAUAAUCACACUGAUCGAUCUGCCUUGAUUUGCCAGGGCACCAGUUCGCGCAAGGAUUCUUUGGACGCAUUCAGAGGAUUAAAUACUGCUGUUACAGUACUGACACACGUGGAGGAGUUAUUAUUAUUAUUAUAUGUAUUAUCAUUAUUAUUGGUCAAACUUGAUGAUGGCAGCAGCUGAUGGAUUCAACACUCCAGCUGUGAAUCGUCCUGUAGGAUAUAAGGAAAUACUGUCUCUUACACGGAAUAAGGGGUGUCCAUUACUCCUGCUGCCCUUUGCUGGACAAGCCGUUUGGCGGACAGACGAGUCUCUUGGGAUACUUCACGCGUGUGGGCCGGUGUCAUAGAUGGCCAGUACCAUGAUGUGGUUUUUGGGAAUCGAUAUUUAUUGUGUUGGAUUUUGUCGAAAGGAAUGGGAUAUCCUGGGAUAUAUUUUUGGAAGCGAUGCUCAGCAGAUGUCCAGCAAUUCUGGAUAAUGACAGUACGCAUCUCCUCAUCCAGCAGUGAAGGAAUCCAAACUCUUGGAAUGAGAUGUCAACGUUUAAUUGCUUCCCAGGGAUCUUCUGAUGAUCUCAGGUGAGCACUCAGAAGAGGCUGACUAAUGGAAACAUGAUCUCAAGAGAUUCAGCAGGAUCAUACUAAAUCCUGGUUUGGACUGUGGACCAGCAUCCCCUGCAGCAGAUGUUUGCUCCUGGCAUGGCUGCGAACAGCGUGAGCUCCAUCACUGACAGUCUCGCUCUCAGGAUCCAACCCAGCUUGGACCUGGAGAAGCAGUGACAUAAACUCAGCAGGACAGUGGAGUGUAUUCUGCUGCUCAGACAUUAUGGAACAGAUCAGUCAACCCUGUCUGGAGAGCUGCUCGAUAGGAAAGUCAGCUCGAUGAAUGUACACUUACCAGAAUAACCACAAUGGAUCUACACAUUGUUUGACUUUUUCUAAAUUGAACCUGGAUUAAUAUUUUCCUGCAAUGUACAUCUGCUUUUGAUAUUCAGCGUUUAUUCACACUGUUGCUCAUACACUGCAGUUGUGACAUACACUGUGUUAUUCUGGAUACAGUAUCAACAAGUGCUGGAACUGUAAAUGGAAAAUAAUCAGAUUCAGAUAUUUUCAUUUUGUAGCUCCAAUUUAACAGGCUGGAGACAGCGCGUACACCAGUGCAGUCACAUACAAGGUUUAUCUAGUGAAGAGAAGAUUCUCCAGAAUGAUUACUGGCACUGGAAAUGUAACGUUAUCAUUUGAUGUCUUGUAAUUGCGAUGACAAAGAGGCUAUUGUAAUCAAGGUGCUGAUGAAUGCAAACCAAAAAAUUUUGUCACAUUGGCAGCCUGUGUUAAUAUUGAUUAAUAAUCCUGUCAAAGUGUUUAUUCUCAUGAUGAUUUAUAGCCCCAUAACGUUUGUUGUGUCUGUAAAACCCUGUUGCAGAAAUAAAAAAAAAGGAAAAUGUAUCCAAGCUGGUGCCUG